ACAGCCGGCUAAGGGAGAGCAGCCAAGACCCAGGGUCAAGAGGAGAGAAACCGACAGAGGGAAAAGAAACACAAAGAAAUUAAGAGAGAGGGGAAAACUGGCAGCCUAACGCACGGAGAAGUUCAACUUUCCCCGUGGAAAGUCCUUGUAAGAAUGUGACGGUGGUAAGCGAGACGGUGCGUGAUGCUGCAUGACAUCAGCACCAACAAGUUACGCAGCGCUUCUGACAGACUAAGACAAACCGAUACAUCAGGUGGAGAGAGCUCGGCUCACAAGCUUACAAUCGUGAUGAGUUUAUCUACCAAUCAGCCUGUGACAUUACAGCUAAAAGUUAACAAAUAGUUAAAGGUAACGCAUGAUUAGGGGCACAUCUGUAAUAAAUGCCUAAUUAUGUAACAAGAUUCUA